rnacentral:lncRNA from 1 species
CUAGACUGUGAUUGUUGUGCUUCUUCAAAUGUUUCAGUACAUCCAGGAACUGAAAUUCCUAGGGCUCCCUCACCUGGAGUAUAUGCACAUGCAUAUGAGAGAGUAGUCACAAAUAAUCAAUAAAUGUAAUAAUGUAUCCUUUUAAACAAAAAUAUUGGACUCCUUUCAUAUGGGAGAUAAUUGAAGAGGAUCAAACGCUUCAUUAUAUGGUUAGUUUGCAAUUAUAUAUGAUGAUUAAAUUGGCUUCAUAAAAAUGGUGUAAUAAUGUAUAGGAAUGAAGGUUCAUACUUACCUUAAAAAAGUGCAAGCCUUGAUAAUUUACUUGAAAUUAUAAAAGUUAUAUCUUAGAUUUGGAUUAAAGCUAAAUUUGAUAUAUUUCUAUAUUUCUUUCUUGACUAUUGAAAUUCAAAUCCUUUGAUCAGAGAAAAAAAACAUCUAACAAUUAAGAAAGAGAGGAUAAUGUAUACCAUUUCAUAUACUAUAUACUUAUCAUUAGUAAGUUUUAGUUUUAUAUUUUAUAGAAAUAAUCAAUAAUCGGAUAUCAGUACAGACUUAUAUCAUUAAUAUAUAGAGAUAAGAAAGAAGGAAAUAAGAAAGAAGGAAAUAUUAUAUAAAGAUGUUGUGUUCGAAUAUAUCUGACCUUGAACAAUCAUAAUGAUCUGUGGAUAAUUAGUGUAGGAUGGCAAGUGUAAUCCCUUUGGCUCAAUGGUAUGUUUUUCAAAUGCAACACCAGCACAACGUAGCUCAGGUUUAUUUGAGUUCCAUGUCUCAGUAACACCACCUUCUGACUCAAUCCUAUUAUCAGGUUCCAAAGC